GAGUUUGUUUACAUCUGAUUACAGAAGUUCGUUUGUCGGAUAUUUUCCCUCCUGCCGUCACAUAAUCACAGAAACACGCCAUUAAACAGCCAACAUUCACCUCCUGGAGUCGAGUGAACUUCAGUUUAUACUGACGACAGGCUGACUGAGGGUGGUGCUGACGGGAAGCUGAAAAUGGACUGAGCAAAAUGGAAAAGGUUCAUCUUCAGAGGAGCACAAUUAUCUGCAGAUGUAGUCUUUCACCGGGGCUAACGUCGUCACCUCGUGGAGAGCACGCUGACUCGGUGGAGUGAGGCUUCAGACGGUUGUCUUUAGCCCACGCAGCCUCCUCUGGAUGGAAGCGCGACAUGUGAGCCCUCAUCCAUCCAUCCAUCCGUUUUCUACACCGCUUGAUCCGUCAGGGUCGCGGCAGAGCUGGAGCCUAUCCUCGCUGACUACGGUCUUCCUUGGACAUCGAACUCCAGUGGACAAUCAGCCUGAAUGAGUAUCAGAACUUCAAGCAGGUUGAAACAGAGGAAUAACGCUCUCUUCCGGGGAAAAGCUGCAGGUGUGCCAGCAGAGUGUCCAGAAAUGCUUCCUUGGUCCUAGAGACUCCUGAAGAACUGCAGGGAGAGUUCGUAGGUCAGGAACAUGGUGGCGCUCAUCGGGAAGCCUCGAAUGGCGUUUACUGACGCUCCACGGACGAAGACCUGCGCACAGAAAAAGAGUUUUAAUUAAUGAAGGUGGAAAACAACUGUGGUUACAGUCAUAUUGCUCACCUGUAUUCCCUCCGUCUUGUAGCUGUGGAUGAUGCAGUGUAAGAUUCCCUUGUACUUCCUCUGCAGCUGAGCGUCGGCCUGCAAUCGACUCUUCACCACAUCAGCCGGCGUGGCUG